AAAGAUUAAGCCAUGCAUGUCUAAGUAUAAGCAACUAUACGGUGAAACUGCGAAUGGCUCAUUAAAUCAGUUAUCGUUUAUUUGAUAGUACCUUACUACAUGGAUAACCGUGGUAAUUCUAGAGCUAAUACAUGCUAAAAACCUCGACUUCGGAAGGGGUGUAUUUAUUAGAUAAAAAACCAAUGCCCUUCGGGGCUCCUUGGUGAAUCAUAAUAACUUAACGAAUCGCAUGGCCUUGCGCCGGCGAUGGUUCAUUCAAAUUUCUGCCCUAUCAACUUUCGAUGGUAGGAUAGUGGCCUACCAUGGUAU
rnacentral:rRNA from 2 species